rnacentral:tRNA from 2 species
GCCCGAGUGGUGAAAUUGGUAGACGCAGUGGACUCAAAAUCCGCCGAUAGUGAUAUCGUACCGGUUCGACUCCGGUCUCGGGCA